rnacentral:rRNA from 1 species
CCUACGGGGUGCAGCAGUGGGGAAUAUUGCACAAUGGGGGAAACCCUGAUGCAGCGACGCCGCGUGAGUGAAGAAGUAUUUCGGUAUGUAAAGCUCUAUCAGCAGGGAAGAAAAUGACGGUACCUGAUUAAGAAGCCCCGGCUAACUACGUGCCAGCAGCCGCGGUAAUACGUAGGGGGCAAGCGUUAUCCGGAUUUACUGGGUGUAAAGGGGGCGUAGACGGCAGCACAAGUCAGGAGUGAAAUGCCGGGGCUUAACCCCGGAACUGCUUUGGAAACUGUGCAGCUAGAGUGCAGGAGGGGUAAGUGGAAUUCAUAGUGUAGCGGUGAAAUGCGUAGAUAUUAGGAGGAACACCAGUGGCGAAGGCGGCUUACUGGACUGUAACUGACGUUGAGGCUCGAAAGCGUGGGGAGCAAACAGGAUUAGAUACCCUAGUAGUC